GACAGAGGGGGCAAGCGUUGCUCGGAAUUACUGGGCGUAAAGGGCGCGUAGGCGGGAUGGCAAGUCGGUCGUGAAAUCCUUCGGCUCAACCGAAGAACGUCGAUCGAUACUGCUGUUCUUGAGGGUUGCAGAGGAGACUGGAAUUCCCGGUGUAGCGGUGAAAUGUGUAGAGAUCGGGAGGAACACCGGUGGCGAAGGCGGGUCUCUGGGCAAUUCCUGACGCUGAGGCACGAAAGCGUGGGGAGCAAACAGG
rnacentral:rRNA from 1 species